UGUACAGACAUGGACAAGUGGCGAGAGUAAACAAGAUGAGAAGUUUUAUAAUCCUAGCUGUGUGUGCAGCUCUUGUGGCGAGUGAAGAUUGUCAGAAUAACAACGAUUGUAGAGUAACAAGUUGUAGUGGAGGUGUUUUAAGAUGUGUUGAAAAUCUCUGUACCUGUGUGACCCGCUGCGAUGAUGGCAUAGCAACCUGUAGGAACAGAGAGAACUGCAUAGAGGACGCUAACCAACAUAACUGUAAUUGUAGAACGGAAUACCAUUGUAUUGAUAAUCAUUGCUAUUGUGGUUAUCCCAAUGGAAAAUAAAUAAAGUCUACUGAAAAUACCA